rnacentral:rRNA from 1 species
GAUCCUGGCUCAGAUUGAACGCUGGCGGAAUGCUUUACACAUGCAAGUCGAACGGUAGAGGGGGCAACCCUUGAGAGUGGCGAACGGUGAGUAAUAUAUCGGAACGUGCCCAGUCGUGGGGGAUAACGUAGCGAAAGUUACGCUAAUACCGCAUACGAUCUACGGAUGAAAGCGGGGGACUCGCAAGAGCCUCGCGCGAUUGGAGCGGCCGAUAUCAGAUUAGGUAGUUGGUGGGGUAAAGGCUCACCAAGCCAACGAUCUGUAGCUGGUCUGAGAGGACGACCAGCCACACUGGAACUGAGACACGGUCCAGACUCCUACGGGAGGCAGCAGUGGGGAAUUUUGGACAAUGGACGCAAGUCUGAUCCAGCCAUUCCGCGUGCAGGAUGAAGGCCCUCGGGUUGUAAACUGCUUUUGUACGGAACGAAAAGGUUUCUAUUAAUACUAGGAGCUCAUGACGGUACCGUAAGAAUAAGCACCGGCUAACUACGUG